UACGAAGGGGGCUAGCGUUGCUCGGAAUCACUGGGCGUAAAGCGCACGUAGGCGGAUUGCUAAGUCAGGGGUGAAAUCCUGGAGCUCAACUCCAGAACUGCCUUUGAUACUGAAGAUCUUGAGUUCGGGAGAGGUGAGUGGAACUGCGAGUGUAGAGGUGAAAUUCGUAGAUAUUCGCAAGAACACCAGUGGCGAAGGCGGCUCACUGGCCCGAUACUGACGCUGAGACGCGAAAGCGUGGGGAGCGAACAGG
rnacentral:rRNA from 1 species